GCCGUCUUAGCUCAGUGGUAGAGCGCGUGGCUUUUAACCACGUGGCCGUGGGUUCGAUCCCACAGACGGCG
rfam:Arabidopsis lyrata subsp. lyrata unplaced genomic scaffold ARALYscaffold_8, whole genome shotgun sequence.